AAAAAAAAAUAAUAAUAAUAAUAAUAAAAUAAAUCUAUUUUUGUUGAGUUCAGUGUCAAAAUAAUUCAAAAUAUUUUAACAUAGUAAAAUUUCAACGACCUAAAUAAACAUAUUACUCAGAAUGUGUCCUCCAUGUUUAUUGGUGCUGUAACUCAUAGAGAAAUAAUUAACAUUGUGAAAACAUUUAAAAAUAAAAAGUCCACUGACUGUUUUGGUAUUGACAUGAUAUUAAUUAAAAGUAUUAUAGAAUAUAUAGUGAAACCUUUCGCAUACAUUUGUAAUCUGUCCUUUCGAACUGGUGUGUUUCCCUCACAAAUGAAAAUAGCAAAAGUUAUUCCAAUCCAUAAAAACGGAGAGAGAUGUCAGUUUACCAAUUACAGGCCAAUAUCACUACUCCCACAGUUCUCAAAAAUUUUAGAAAAGUUAUUUGUUAAUAGACUUGAUAAAUAUAUAGAGAAGCAUAAUCUCCUAAGUGAUAACCAAUAUGGCUUUAGAAUGAAAAGGUCCACUUCGAUGGCAGUGAUGGAACUUGUAGAAGGGAUAUCUAAUGCUAUAGAUAAUAAGGAAUAUACUGUUGGUGUUUUUAUAGACUUACAAAAGGCGUUUGAUACAAAUGAUCAUUCUAUAUUAAUGAAUAAACUAGAGAGAUAUGGCAUAAGAGGGAUAGCAUACAAGUGGAUGAAAAGUUACCUGGAUGACAGAUAUCAAUAUGUCGAAAUCAAUAAUGUAAAAUCUAAUCAGUUGAAGGUAACUUGUGGUGUUCCUCAGGGCUCUGUGCUGGGCCCUAAAUUAUUCAUAUUAUAUAUAAA